GCCUGCUUAGCUCAGUGGUAGAGCGCGUCACUUGUACCUCAUGGGGCUCGACCACAUGAAAUGCAUGACGAGGUCAGUCGUUCAAACCGGCUAGUUGGCA